CAAUAGCGUAUAUUAAAGUUGUUGCGGUAAAAAAGCUCGUAGUUGGAUUUCUACCGAAGAUAGCCGGUCGGGUCUUCGACCUUGUAUCUGGUUUUGUCUUUGGUAUCCUCAUAGAGAACGUUUCUGCGCUUUAUUGCGUGGUGCGGUAUCUAUGACUUUUACUUUGAGGAAAUUAGAGUGUUCACGGCAGGCAAACGCCUUGAAUAUAUUAGCAUGGAAUAAUAACAUAGGAUCUUCGUCCUAUUUUGUUGGUUUCUAGGGCUAAGAUAAUGAUUAAUAGGGAUAAUUGGGGGCAUCUGUAUCAACGCGUCAGAGGUGGAAUUCUUGGAUUGCGUUGCGACAAACUACUGCGAAAGCAUUUGCCAAGGAUGUUUUCAUUGA
rnacentral:rRNA from 1 species